rnacentral:lncRNA from 1 species
CAAAUCUUUGUAAUGGAAGUUGGAACAAGGAUGAGACGCAUUAUUUUUCGUUAUUUCUGACCUUCUAAAUUAUCACUCAUUUUCAAAAUUAUCUUUAAAGUUCACUUUUUGUCAAUUAAAUCUUAAAAAUAAAAUUUUUUGAUAUUUCUGACUUCAACCCCGAUCCAUUUUUGACUCAAUUCGGCCCAAUUUGACCCAAGAUUAUUUAGAGGGGUAUAUUCAAUUAAGAUUUUUAAAGACUUUUUUUAAGUGAUAAACUUUUGUAGAGUUUGUGAAUUUUAAUAACUUUUAAAGACUAUUUUAAAAUGACUUUUAUAAAAUCCAUGAAUUAAGUGACAGAUUUUAAUAGACUUUUUAUCAAGAUUUUAAUAGACUUUUAUAUAUACUUCUAAUAUAUCUUGCAGCUUAU